UACGUAUGGUGCAAGCGUUAUCCGGAUUUACUGGGUGUAAAGGGUGCGUAGGUGGCAUGGCAAGUCAGAAGUGAAAGGCCGGGGCUCAACCCCGGGACUGCUUUUGAAACUGUCAGGCUGGAGUGAAGUAGAGGUUGGCGGAAUUCCGAGUGUAGCGGUGAAAUGCGUAGAUAUUCGGAGGAACACCGGUGGCGAAGGCGGCCUGCCGGCUCCACACUGACGCUGAGGCACGAAAGCGUGGGUAUCGA
rnacentral:rRNA from 1 species